rnacentral:lncRNA from 1 species
AAAUUAUUUUAGGCAUGGGAUCAAAGAAGAAACUUCUUUGUAGCAGCAUCCCAGUACUAGGACUUUUUGUCUCUGCAUGGAAAUCUGAAUAUAUUUAUAUGUUGGAGUGACAUCUCUACAGGAAGCCUAGAGACCUAACUGUUUGCUACAUGUCACCAAAGUUAAAGUGGCUACCUUAAUGAGCAGCCAGGAUGCCAUCAUCUCCGACCUGAAUGACAAUAACCUCCAAACCAGCCUUUGUAUACUCCUUCCUGCUGCUCUGCAGUCCACUUCCACAGACCAGCCAACUGAAUCUCCUUAUAGAUUCAUAAUGGCCAUCAGCACAAAGAUGUUUUAUCUGCAGUCAACCAGUCAUGUUUCAUGAUGGCAUCAAAAUGUGCUGGAAAAGGUCAGAGAAAAUCAUCAUCAUAAAGUGAAGUGAUUUUCUUCUUUAUGAGCUCCUGAUGUAAACAGACUGAUGAGCACAACACAAUCCUUACUCACCCACAUGACAUCAUACACAAUCACAGCUAAAUGUUUCUAUCUGUCAAAGCCUGAAGAGUGACUACCAGAUUGUUGCCUGAUUGCUAAGAAUUGAUGCUUGUUCAACUGGGAUCUAUCCAGAGAAACAUAAUCCACUUCAAGAAUUUUCUGAAAAGGGAAUCUAAUGCAAGGAAUUAAUUGCAAAGAUGAUGCAAUAUCUGAGAACGAUAGAUUUGACAGUUUGGUCUACAUUUCAAGGCUGGUUAGAUGGGAGGUAUGUCCUGGUAUAUUAGUUAAUUUAGGUAUAUCUUACUGAUUUACAUUGCAUGAUUUAUCAGAUGCUAUUGACUCAUUCAAGUAAAUACAUUUAAAAAUUAUACCUUUUGCUCAUACUAGUAAUUGGGUCAGUCAUGCUCUUGAAGGAGGCAUACUGGGAGCCAUACAUUACCAGAGGCAGAGGAUUCAAUGGAUGUUUUCUGUUUUCUCUUCUUCGUGCUCUGUAAUUGAGACACAGAACAAAGGAGGAAGACUAAGUGCUCUGCCUUAACUCAGGCCAGGCUGUGGGCGCAAGUGCACCAACGGCUUUGAGACUAACACACAGCUCAGAACAAGGAGGUGAAAAUCUGACAGCUCAAAAUGAAGCAAAAACCCAAGAUUAAAACAGACACCAUUUUGUGCCCACUCAGUCUUCUUUCCAGGGUCAUACAUGUCUGAAAAUAUUCCUGCUGAAACAGCCUGCACCAUUCCAUUCUCUACACUAGCGGUUCUCAGAUUAGAGAGUGAAUGAGAUCGCAUGAAGGACUUGCUAAAACAUGGAUUGCU